rfam:Gallus gallus isolate RJF #256 breed Red Jungle fowl, inbred line TCD001 chromosome 11, whole genome shotgun sequence.
AACGUGGCUUUUCUAAAAGCCCCAGCUUCUUUUCAUUAACAAAGUGU